rnacentral:ncRNA from 1 species
UAAUGAGCGCCAGAACUAACAAUAGUUGACGAGGUUAGUAGUUAUCGAAAAUUCGGCGGAUGCUACUACGGGUUAAGUACUCGAUAGAUAUAUAACAAAAAAUAAAAUCAAUAUUAUAACAAAAUAUAUAUCAU